GACAGAGGGUGCAAACGUUGUUCGGAAUUACUGGGCGUAAGGCGCGUGUAGGCGGUUCGUAAAGUCGGAUGUGAAAGCCCUGGGCUUAACCCAGGAAGUGCAUUCGAAACUCACGAACUUGAGUCCCGGAGAGGAAGGCGGAAUUCUCGGUGUAGAGGUGAAAUUCGUAGAUAUCGAGAGGAACAUCUGUGGCGAAGGCGGCCUUCUGGACGGUGACUGACGCUGAGACGCGAAAGCGUGGGGAGCAAACAGG
rnacentral:rRNA from 1 species